AUUCACACUUGAAUGGACCUAUAAAUAGGAGUGCUAGCUGGAGGACAAUGGCCUCAUCAACGCGUUAUACAAUCUAAUCUGCAAUCACCAAAAUGAAGACUAUCUCUCUCAUUUGCUGCAUUCUCCUGGCUUUCCUUCUUUUCUCUUCCCCUUCAAUUAUGGCUCGUGAAUUGGCUGCUGAUCAUGAUCAUGAGGCCGAUGGCACUACUGCUGACAAAGACAAGAUUAAUAAUCCCAACUUGCCAGGAAAAUCGUGCGGAAGCCCGAAAGAUCCCCAAUAUGCUGCUUGCAUAGGGAAACAGAAGCCCAAGUCCUGUUCAAAAGGCAACUCUUAUCACCGUUGCAAUCCACCAGCUCAAGGCUAGGAUCAAGUAAUUGAAUAAGCAGAGCUUUUAACGGUGUAAUGAAAUUAGUACGAUUAAAAUAGUAAAAGUUAUAAGUACUGCUGGCAUUAACGAUCGAUGCUUCUCGUGAUCAUGAUGAUGAUCGAUGAUCAUGAGAAGAACGUAUGUACCUACAAGUUUGAGAAUAAAAAGGUUUAGUUCGAUACCGUAUCAUCAUGUAAUGCAUGGAUCCGAUCGAUCGAACUUCCUCUGCAAUGUGUCAAUAAAAUUAAGAAUGUCUGACCGACUUAGUUUUGGUCAGCUAGUUUGUUUAAAUUUCUUAUGACUAUAUAUAGCUAGUAUUUUCUUCUUCUU